GACGAACGCUGGCGGCGUGCUUAACACAUGCAAGUCGAACGGAAAGGCCCUGCUUUUGCGGGGUGCUCGAGUGGCGAACGGGUGAGUAACGCGUGAGUAACCUGCCCUUGACUUUCUGAUAACUUCAGGAAACUGGGGCUAAUACCGGAUAGGAGCUCCUGCUGCAUGGUGUGGGUUGGAAAGUUUCGGCGGUUGGGGAUGGACUCGCGGCUUAUCAGCUGGUUGGUGGGGUAGUGGCUUACCAAGGUUUUGACGGGUAGCCGGCCUGAGAGGGUGACCGGCCACAUUGGGACUGAGAUACGGACCAGACUCCUACGGGAGGCAGCAGUGGGGAAUAUUGCGCAACGGGCGGAAGCCUGAUGCAGCAGCGCCGCGUGCGGGAUGACGGCCUUCGGGUUGUAAACCGCUUUCGCCUGUAACGAAGAGUGAGUGACGGUAAUGGGUAAAGAAGCACCGGCUAACUACGUG
rnacentral:rRNA from 1 species